rnacentral:rRNA from 1 species
GCGAACGGACGAGAAGCUUGCUUCUCUGAUGUUAGCGGCGGACGGGUGAGUAACACGUGGAUAACCUACCUAUAAGACUGGGAUAACUUCGGGAAACCGGAGCUAAUACCGGAUAAUAUUUUGAACCGCAUGGUUCAAAAGUGAAAGACGGUCUUGCUGUCACUUAUAGAUGGAUCCGCGCUGCAUUAGCUAGUUGGUAAGGUAACGGCUUACCAAGGCAACGAUGCAUAGCCGACCUGAGAGGGUGAUCGGCCACACUGGAACUGAGACACGGUCCAGACUCCUACGGGAGGCAGCAGUAGGGAAUCUUCCGCAAUGGGCGAAAGCCUGACGGAGCAACGCCGCGUGAGUGAUGAAGGUCUUCGGAUCGUAAAACUCUGUUAUUAGGGAAGAACAUAUGUGUAAGUAACUGUGCACAUCUUGACGGUACCUAAUCAGAAAGCCACGGCUAACUACGUGCCGGCAGCCGCGGUAAUACGUAGGUGGCAAGCGUUAUCCGGAAUUAUUGGGCGUAAAGCGCGCGUAGGCGGUUUUUUAAGUCUGAUGUGAAAGCCCACGGCUCAACCGUGGAGGGUCAUUGGAAACUGGAAAACUUGAGUGCAGAAGAGGAAAGUGGAAUUCCAUGUGUAGCGGUGAAAUGCGCAGAGAUAUGGAGGAACACCAGUGGCGAAGGCGACUUUCUGGUCUGUAACUGACGCUGAUGUGCGAAAGCGUGGGGAUCAAACA